rnacentral:rRNA from 1 species
UACGUCGGUGGCUCGCGUUGUCCGGAUUUAUUGGGCGUAAAGCGCCCGCAGGCGGCUCGGCAAGUUUGGAGUGAAAUCUUCCGGCUCAACUGGGAGGGUGCUUCGAAAACUGCCAGGCUUGAGGCAUGGAGAGGGAUGCGGAAUUCCCGGUGUAGUGGUGAAAUGCGUAGAUAUCGGGAGGAACACCAGUGGCGAAGGCGGCAUCCUGGCCAUGUCCUGACGCUCAGGGGCGAAAGCGUGGGGAGCAAACCGG